rnacentral:tRNA from 1 species
AUUCAAAUAGCUUAUAAAUAGAGUAUAACAUUGAAGAUGUUGUGGAGAUUAAAUUAAUCUUUGGAUA